rnacentral:rRNA from 2 species
UAGGGAAUCUUCGGCAAUGGACGAAAGUCUGACCGAGCAACGCCGCGUGAGUGGAGAAGGUUUUCGGAUCGUAAAACUCUGUUGUUAGAGAAGAACAAGGACGUUAGUAACUGAACGUCCCCUGACGGUAUCUAACCAGAAAGCCACGGCUAACUACGUGCCAGCAGCCGCGGUAAUACGUAGGUGGCAAGCGUUGUCCGGAUUUAUUGGGCGUAAAGCGAGCGCAGGCGGUUUCUUAAGUCUGAUGUGAAAGCCCCCGGCUCAACCGGGGAGGGUCAUUGGAAACUGGGAGACUUGAGUGCAGAAGAGGAGAGUGGAAUUCCAUGUGUAGCGGUGAAAUGCGUAGAUAUAUGGAGGAACACCAGUGGCGAAGGCGGCUCUCUGGUCUGUAACUGACGCUGAGGCUCGAAAGCGUGGGGAGCAAACAGG